GACAGAGGUCCCGAGCGUUAGGCGGAAUCACUGGGCUUAAAGCGUGUGUAGGCGGAUUUGUAAGUACCUUGUGAAAUCCCACGGCUUAACCGUGGAACUGCUUGGUAUACUGCAUAUCUUGGGCCACUUAGGGGUUACCGGAACAAACGGUGGAGCGGUGAAAUGCGUAGAUAUCGUUUGGAACGCCAAUGGUGAAAACAGGUAACUGGGAGUGUGCCGACGCUGAGACACGAAAGCCAGGGGAGCGAACGGG
rnacentral:rRNA from 1 species